rnacentral:rRNA from 1 species
AUUGAAUGCUGGCGGCAUGCCUUACACAUGCAAGUCGAACGGCAGCACGGGUUCUUGCGCCUGUUGGCGAGUGUCGAACGGGUGAGUAAUACAUCGGAACAUGUCCUGUAGUGGGGGAUAGCCCGCCUAAAGCCGGAUUAAUCCAGCAUACGAUCUACGGAUGAAAGCGGGGGACCUUCCGGCCUCGCGCUAUAGGGUUGGCCGAUGGCUGAUUAGCUAGUUGGUGGUGUAAAGGCCUACCAAGGCGACGACCAGUCGCUGGUCUGAGAGGACGACCAGCCAGACUGGGACUGAGACACGGCCCCGACUCCUACGGGAGGCAGCAGUCGGGAAUUUUGGACAAUGGGCGAAAGCCUGAUCCAGCAAUGCCGCGUGUGUGAAGAAGGCCUUCGGGUUGUAAAGCACUUUUGUCCGGAAAGAAAUCCUUGGCCAUAAUCCGGUCGGGGGAUGACGGUACCGGAAGAAUAAGCACCGGCUAACUACGUG